GGGCGGGUAGAUCAGUCCGGUAGAUCGCUUCCUUGGCGUGGAAGAGGCCCCGAGUUCAAAUCUCGGUCCGUCCA
rnacentral:tRNA from 1 species